CUACUUACCUGGCAGGGGAGAGACCAUGAUCACGAAGGUGGUUUUCCCAGGGUGAGUCUUCUCCAUUGUACUCUGGAGGCCUUCUCCAUUGUACUCUGGAUGUGCUGAUCCCUGCAAUUUCCCCAAAUCUGGGAAACUCGACUGCAUAAUUUGUGGUAAUGGGGAAUUGCAUUUGCACUCUCCCCUG
rfam:Pongo abelii chromosome 3.